rnacentral:rRNA from 1 species
UACGGAGGAUCCAAGCGUUAUCCGGAAUCAUUGGGUUUAAAGGGUCCGUAGGCGGUCAGGUAAGUCAGUGGUGAAAGCCCAUCGCUCAACGGUGGAACGGCCAUUGAUACUGCUUGACUUGAAUUAUUAGGAAGUAACUAGAAUAUGUAGUGUAGCGGUGAGAUGCUUAGAGAUUACAUGGAAUACCAAUUGCGAAGGCAGGUUACUACUAAUAUAUUGACGCUGAUGGACGAAAGCGUGGGGAGCGAACAGG